rnacentral:piRNA from 1 species
UCCAACAUAGCAAAGUGUCUAGCAUGG